UAGAAACCGUUGAGAAAGAGAAGUAGAUGAUUUGACGAAGUUUCAGAGAGCGGCAGGUGGUGUGAUUGCCGUACUAAGUGGAUGAUCGAAUGGACUUUCGAGGGCAGCCGGAAAUUCUGAAUACAGAAGAUUAUGGUUUGUCGGGAACCGAACCCGUUAUCAAUCAGGAGUGUAUGUUAGUACAUGAGAAAAGUGGACAUUAUGUCAAGUUGAGUGGUACCGCGAUAAUAGAUAAUAUUACCGCCUCAAAC
rnacentral:ncRNA from 1 species